CGGACCAGUAUGCAGCUACUUAUGCUGCAAAUAUGUGGAAUGAAGCUCUCAACAAGCGGCUGGGUACAGAGGCAAUUAUGCUUUGCUUGAGGCUUUUCAUUUUACUUUUGGUGUCUAUUAAAUCAACUUAUUUAAAAUCCUAAGCCAUGCCAGUUUGUUCUAUUUUGUUUAAUGAACACCGGAGGUCUGCUCUUAGAAGUCUAAUGCCCUGAGCAUCUUCUGAUUUUAUUCAAGUAUAUUAUCUUAAACGGAGAGUGAGAGGAACUGAGGAAGAGCAAAGGCUUCUGCCAAACGAUGGACUGUGCCGGGAAGGGACAUGGGACUCGGUGCACAGGACCAGCCACAACCACAACCACAAGAUGAUAUGCUUGCUGUGGAGCUGUUGGUUCUUGCUCUGUUUCUCAGCAGGUGCUUCUAAUUUGUAUGACUUUUUUUUUUUUCUUUCUAUUUUUUCGAUUGGCUGUGCUUUGAAAGCAAAUCAGAAAUUGAUAAGUGUUGUGAAAUUAUUGCAAGCGCACAAUCCAUACAAGUAAUAUAGAAAUAAGUAGAGUGUCGUUCCCACGAAGACUGUAAUUUCCUAUUAACUACCAAUUAUGAUUAAUGCAUAAGUUUAUUUGAACAGUUGAUUAAGAAGAUUGAUUAAUUUUAAGAAAACUAAAACAAUUAUGAAAAAUAACAAUUUAAUUAACAAUAGAAAAUUAAGAUGAUGAGACACUAGAGCAUCCGACUUCACCAUAACCAAUUCUACUUAAUUCUUAUAGCCAAUUAACCCUAAUUAUUAUCCAUGUUGACAGUUGGUUUCUCCUAAUUCAUUCGAUAUCCCCUCUCGGGCUCAACCAAAAGUAUUCUCAAU
rnacentral:lncRNA from 1 species